UCGUCUCUCUUCUUCUUUCUGCGGCGCUAGGCAACGCCUGAGCUUCUUCCGAAUCACUGAAACGGUUCGAGUUGUGGCUUUUCUGUGUUAACUCAAAUAGAGCAUAAUCUCUCCAUCUUCCUCGCGAUUUCUUCUACCGUUGUGCGAUCUCGAGUUUUUCCACACUUUCAAUGGCAAAUCCAAGUGCUGUAUCUGAAGAUAGGAAAUUGGACGACCUUGAAAUCGCCUCCGUUGGUGUUCUUUAUAGCGGCUACCAGAGCUCAUCUAGGGGAAAAGAUCGUUUCCCUUAUCCUGUGGGCUAUAAAGCUGUUCGAGCUCACAAUGGGAGCACAUAUUAUAUGGAGAUUGAAGAAGGUGCUAAAGGCCUUUGUUUCUGGUGUGUUGAUGAUUCCCUUUAAAUCUUAUAUAAGGUUGUGCAUACGUUUUUUUAGAAUGGAGCAGAGUCUUACUCUAUUGAUACUGAUACUUCCGACACAAGCUUGGUGCAUUGCAUCGCAUAGGAAUCAUCUGUACUGGUGGCUACAUAUGAAGGGACGCAUGACCACUUGGAUCAAACACUGUGACUUUGGAUAUUGUUCAUGGUGUGCAUGAUGUAUUAGCUUUGGAGAAGAAGAAAAGGGGAAUGAUGCAAGAGGUUUUGGUUCAGAAAUUGACCACUCCGUUACCUACUGAUUCAAAGUUUGCUGCUGCUCUUGCGGUUUCUAUAUCUGGAAGGUUGAUAUGUUUACCUCCGUUCAAGAGAAACUUCAUGAUUGGAUCAGUCGCAACCCACCCAUAACUCCGCUGAGAGGAACCUUGAAGCUACUGUUUACCCCCAAGGUUCUUCUCCUUUCUCUUGCUCUCUCGCACCAACUUUAGGUUUCAGAUUAAUUUGGGAUAUUUAGUGUGUGUUUCUUAGUUUCUCUUCUAUGUUAAUUCUAGCCAUCUGAAGAAUUGCUUUGGGUAUUGUUAAUACAAGCAGACCAUGUUGGUAAGUUGCCAUUGGUUCGUAUGAAUAAUCUCCGCUCAGUUCUUCUCUGUUAAUGGUUUUUAGUUAUACUUAGAAGAGCUGGUCUCAUCUGACAUUACGCUCCUCUGUUUGUUUUCGGAUUUCAUCAGUUAAUGUCUAUGUUCUGAAAAAUAGGGUGACGACUCUUCAUCAAGGUUAUGGUUCAUUGAGUUCCUUAGGGAGUAAGACGCUGACUAUGCAAUUAAGGCUCUUUACAUAAGCUCCAUGGAAAGGCUAUAUGUGUAACCAAGGCAAAUCAAGAUAAAAAGAGCAUGAUUGUUGGUGCUAACCUUUAGAAAGAAACAAUGGUACCACGAAUUGGGCUGUUGUUGAUAAGUCCGAAGUCUCCAUGAAUCAGAAAGCUUAGCCUGUCGGAGUUGGUCAUGUUGAUAUUAAUGCCAAGGGGAAAUAUCUGUGGAUUUUAACAUAGGUCAGCAAAGUCAUUCGACAGCAACUACUACGUUGAGAGAGCAGCACGAUGGUAGUAGUGAAAAGACAAGUUUAAGCCAAGGUUGUAAAGAAAACAGUAAAAGCUCGAGGAAGAGACACCAGCAAAGCAAAGAAAUAUCACAAGUUUAUUGAACUAACCAAUCUCACUCUCAAUACGUCAGAGAUACCAGCUAUGAAUGAGUGUUUUGUGGAGAUGGUAGCAGAAAGAGUCAUUGUAGAAUCUGUAAUCAGCGAAUGAUAGCAAAACGUGGUCUGAUUUCAAAGAGGCUAUAUGAAAAAGGAUCUAUAGCAAAGCCAUGGAAAAAGGAUGGCGUUUUCUUCUCUUUCGAUAGAAGCUGUUACUUGAGAACAGAUGAAAACUCAAGUGUACCUAUAUAUAGAUAUAUUUGACAAAAAAGUGUAUAUAAAUAUUCCAGAGUACAUAAAAAUCACAAGCAUUACAUAUUACAAGUACAUAAAAGUCAUAUGCAUUCAAGAGUAAAUGUCAUUUGUUUUAAA